UCGAGUCUGUGGAGGCCUGCAAGUAUUGUACGAGUAACACUAAAAAACUUUGUAACUUAUGAUUGUGUGGAAAUUUUUCCUGGGCCUUGUUUGAAUGUUGUUAUUGGGCCCAAUGGUAGCGGUAAAUCAGCUCUUGUAUGUGGUAUAUGUUUAGGACUGGGCGGUAAGCCCAAACUAUUAGGGCGAGCGCGAGAAGUGCAAGAAUUUAUUAAAACUGGGCAUCAAAAAAGUCUUAUAGAA